rnacentral:lncRNA from 12 species
GGCAGCUGUCACCAGUUCUCACUCAGGAUACAAUUCUCCCAUUUUGGGCCAUUUCCCCCCAUUUUUAGCCAUUUUUUGGUCCUUUUUUCCCCAUUUUCCCUAUUUUUUCACCGAUUUUCCCCAUUUUUUGUGGUCUCACCUGUGCAGCAGGAUCCUCCUGAGGCAGCUGUCACCAGUUCUCACUCAGGAUACAAUUCUCCCAUUUUGGGCCAUUUCCCCCCAUUUUUAGCCAUUUUUUGGUCCUUUUUUCCCCAUUUUCCCUAUUUUUUCACCGAUUUUCCCCAUUUUUUGUGGUCUCACCUGUGCAGCAGGAUCCUCCUGAGGCAGGCUGUCACCAGGCUGUCACUCAGGAUACAAUUCUCUAAUUUUGGGCCAUUUCCCCUCAUUUUUAGCCAUUUUUCCCCAUUUUUUCACCGUUUUUCCCAAUUUUUUCACCGUUUUCCCCAUUUUUUGUGGUCUCACCUGUGCAGCAGGAUCCUCCUGAGGCAGCCCCCCCCCCCCCCCCCCCCCCCCCCCCCCCCCCCCCCCCCCCCCCCCCCCCCCCCCCCCCCCCCCCCCCCCCCCCCCCCCCCCCCCCCCCCCCUUUCCCCAUUUUUUCCCCAUUUUCAGCCGUUUUGGACCAUAUUUUCCCCAUUUUCUCACCGUUUUUCCCCAUUUUCCCCCCAUUUUCGGGCUCUCACCUGUGCAGCAGGAUCCUCCUGAGGCAGCUGUCACCAGUUCUCACUCAGGAUACAAUUCUCCCAUUUUGGGCCAUUUCCUUUCCCUUUUUCCCCAUUUCCCCCCAUUUUUAGCCAUUUUUUGGUCAUUUUUUCCCCAUUUUUUCCCCAAUUUUUGGGGAUUUUUUCCCAUUUUCUCACUGUUUUUCCCCAUUUUCCCCCGUUUCCGGGCUCUCA